GUGGGGAAUAUUGCACAAUGGGGGAAACCCUGAUGCAGCAACGCCGCGUGAAGGAAGAAGGCCUUUGGGUCGUAAACUUCUGUUCUGAGGGAAGAAAGUGACGGUACCUCAGGAGCAAGUCCCGGCUAACUACGUGCCAGCAGCCGCGGUAAUACGUAGGGGGCAAGCGUUAUCCGGAAUUAUUGGGCGUAAAGAGUACGUAGGUGGUUACCUAAGCACGGGGUAUAAGGCAAUGGCUCAACCAUUGUUUGCCUUGUGAACUGGGCUACUUGAGUGCAGGAGAGGAAAGCGGAAUUCCUAGUGUAGCGGUGAAAUGCGUAGAUAUUAGGAGGAACACCAGUGGCGAAGGCGGCUUUCUGGACUGUAACUGACACUGAGGUACGAAAGCGUGGGGAGCAAACAGGAUUAGAAACCCGAGUAGUCC
rnacentral:rRNA from 1 species